rnacentral:rRNA from 1 species
GACGAACGCUGGCGGCGUGCCUAAUACAUGCAAGUCGAGCGAAUUUACGAGAGCUUGCUCUCGUAAAUUAGCGGCGGACGGGUGAGUAACACGUGGGCAACCUGCCUAUAAGACUGGGAUAACUUCGGGAAACCGGAGCUAAUACCGGAUAAUUCACAUCUACUCAUGUAGAUGUGCUGAAAGACGGUUUACGCUGUCACUUAUAGAUGGGCCCGCGGCGCAUUAGCUAGUUGGUGAGGUAACGGCUCACCAAGGCCACGAUGCGUAGCCGACCUGAGAGGGUGAUCGGCCACACUGGGACUGAGACACGGCCCAGACUCCUACGGGAGGCAGCAGUAGGGAAUCUUGCGCAA